GUCAAAUCGUCUGUAGACGACUUAGGUACCUGUCGUGGUGUCGUAAUUAGUAGAGCAGCCACCACACUGCGAUCUAUUGAGGCUUAGCCAUUGACCGGGAGGUUU
rnacentral:ncRNA from 1 species